rnacentral:rRNA from 1 species
UGCAGUCGAGCGACAGAUAAGGAGCUUGCUCCUUUGACGUUAGCGGCGGACGGGUGAGUAACACGUGGAUAACCUACCUAUAAGACUGGGAUAACUUCGGGAAACCGGAGCUAAUACCGGAUAACAUAUUGAACCGCAUGGUUCAAUAGUGAAAGGCGGCUUUGCUGUCACUUAUAGAUGGAUCCGCGCCGUAUUAGCUAGUUGGUAAGGUAACGGCUUACCAAGGCAACGAUACGUAGCCGACCUGAGAGGGUGAUCGGCCACACUGGAACUGAGACACGGUCCAGACUCCUACGGGAGGCAGCAGUAGGGAAUCUUCCGCAAUGGGCGAAAGCCUGACGGAGCAACGCCGCGUGAGUGAUGAAGGUCUUCGGAUCGUAAAACUCUGUUAUCAGGGAAGAACAAAUGUGUAAGUAACUGUGCACAUCUUGACGGUACCUGAUCAGAAAGCCACGGCUAACUACGUGCCAGCAGCCGCGGUAAUACGUAGGUGGCAAGCGUUAUCCGGAAUUAUUGGGCGUAAAGCGCGCGUAGGCGGUUUUUUAAGNCUGAUGUGAAAG